UACGUAGGGUGCAAGCGUUAAUCGGAAUUACUGGGCGUAAAGCGUGCGCAGGCGGCUUUGCAAGACAGAUGUGAAAUCCCCGGGCUUAACCUGGGAACUGCAUUUGUGACUGCAUGGCUAGAGUGCGGCAGAGGGGGAUGGGAUUCCGCGUGUAGCAGUGAAAUGCGUAGAUAUGCGGAGGAACACCGAUGGCGAAGGCAAUCCCCUGGGCCUGCACUGACGCUCAUGCACGAAAGCGUGGGGAGCAAACAGG
rnacentral:rRNA from 1 species